rnacentral:lncRNA from 1 species
AAAUUUGGUUUAUUUGGUAUAAAAAUCACACAGGAGGCACUAUCAAGUGUGAAAUCAUGUUUUGCUUUCUUUGAACUAUAUUUGCAUAAAUGUGUUAUUGGUAUAUGUUCCAAAGUUAAGGGAAACUCCUAUAAGUCUAAUAUGACUUAGCGUAUGCUAUUGAUAAUUAUCAUUGUUGUGUAAAAUUUUGUGUGCCACAGAAGUAACCAAAUUUCCUUAUCAAUUGUGGCUUUAAUAGUGGCUGUCCUAAAACUUUUUAUCAUCCAUAGACAAUUGUUGCCAUGUUUUAACCCUCUUUAGAAGGUGGUUUAUAAUCAACAAUAGAACUCUAGCAGGUGUUCUUAAAUGCAGGUUUCUAAUAACUUUGAAGAUUAUGACAUCAGAAUAAAGGAAAAAACUUUCAGAACUCUCAUAGAGAGCUGAAAUGUUCAUAACUAUCAAACAGAAGUUAACUACACAGACUAAACUGAAGAAGUCAAAUCUUUUUAACUUUGCAUAAAAUGUUUCUGAUCCUUUGUUUUGUUUUUCAGAGUCAAGGAAACUUUUCUUUUGAGUUACUUACAGCUUGCAGCAAUUAAAUAAAGUAUACUGCUGUGAACAAAAUUUGGAACACAUUUGUUUCUCUCUACCCGAUUUCUUCAGAAUUUGGAAACUAGUUGUGAGUAUUCUUAACUUAUGGCAACAUAGUUAUUUGCAUAAGUGCAACAAGAAUCUGUUUUCUUUUGUAACAGGACACAAUUGGAAAAGUUGGUUAUUUUACCGAGGACUUAACUGGAAUGGUGUGCUUUCCUUUAAGGAAUCAAACUUGACUUUUAAAGCCAGUAAAAGCCCUUUGGAGAACUGGCCUCAUACCUCACCUACACAGUCCCUGUACAGGGUUUCUGACCUAUGGUAAGUAAAGAAUGUCACUUUCUCACAGGUCCAGGAGCCCCAGGUUAUCUUGAGACCUCAAAAGCAGAGAAAUUUACCCAACUCAGAUAUCACCUCUUGUCGAAACUCAAGAGUCAUGAAUGGCCCUUGCCGUACUGACGCUUUCUGACCGAGCACUUCUCUACCCUGAAUGCAAGAGACCCUCAUAGUUAGGCAGGAAUAUCAUCACCCCUAUACAGCCUGAAGAAGUUGCAGAAGAUGGAUCUUUGUCACUCUGCCACCCUUAGGUUUCAGCAUUCUCUUAUAAAAGAAAGGGUAGAUAUGUGAGAGGCAUGUGAACCAGAGAGACUCCAUCUUAAGUAGGAGCUGGGUAAAAUGAGGCUGAAACCUACUGGGCUGCAUUCCCAGACGGUUAAGGCAUUCUAAGCCACAGGAUGAGAUAGGAGGUCAGCACAAAAUACAGGUCACGAAGACCUUGCUGAUAAAACAGAUUGCAGUAAAGGAGCUGGCCAAAACUUACCAAAACCAAAAUGGCCAUGAGAGUGACCUCUGGUCGUCCUCACUGCUACACUCCCACCAGCACCAUUACAGUUUAGAAAUGCCAUAGCAAUGUCAGGAAGUUACUCUAUAUUGUCCAAAAACGGGAGGCAUGAAUAAUCCCCCCCUGUUUAGCAUAUCAUCAAGAAAUAACCAUAAAAGUGGGCAACCAGCAGCCCUCAGGCUGCUCUGUCUAUGGAGUAGUCAUUCUUUUAUUCCUUUACUUUCUUAAUAAACUUGGUUUUACUUUUCACCACAGACCCACACUGAAUUCUUUAUUGUGCAAGAUCCAAGAACCCUCUCUUAGGGUCUAGAUCGGGAGUCCUUUCCUGUAACACUUCCUUGGCUAACAAAAUUCCUACUUUUUUCUAACUCUAAUACAAGAGUCUAUCGUAUUUCUAAGUGAUCACAGCUAAUUUGUAUGACAGCUGGUUAUGCUCAGCUUUUACCCUCUUGAUAUUCUGUAAAUUAUUUUAGGGCAAGUGAUCACGCUUAUUUUCGUUAUGCUUAGGAGUAACCCAUA